ensembl:lncRNA
AUGCAGCGGGGAUGCAAUGGAGGCGCAACAAGAUGCAGCGGGGAUGCAGAGGGGAUGCAGAGGGAGCAGCCGCGAUGCGGUGCAGCGCUAUGGGGCGGAGGGGGGGGCUCACCUCUCACAGAAGGUGUGCAGGCACGGCAGCACCUUGGGGUUGCGGUAGCGGUCGAGGCAGAUGCUGCACACCAGGAACUGUUUGUCAAUCUGCCGCACCACCGGGCUGGCGUUGGCCUCCCGCUUCGCCAUGGCGGCGUCCCCGAGGCCCCGCGGCGCUCAGCCUGCGGGCGGGGCUGUCAGUGUGCGCCGGGCCCCGCACCGCGCUCAGCCCCGCACCGCGCUCAGCCCCGCACCGCGCCCGGCCGCAGCCGCCCCGCCGUUAAAGCAGCGCAGCGCCCGGUCCGGAGCGACCCCGCCCGCCCGGCAGCGCUCACCCCGCACCGCCGCCCCCGCACCGCUCCCCGUCGCCCAGCGGCCGCCCCGUCCCCGCACGCCCGGUUCCUCCCGCGGGCACCGCCGCUCCCCGCCCCGCCCCCCCCGCCCCGCCGCGUUGUCUCCCGGCCCCGCGUCCGCUCCCGGCGCUGCGGCGGCCCCGCGGCUGCAGGCCCCGGCGCGGCCCCGCCCCGACGGCCAUUGUGCAGGCCCGGCACCGCGACGUCACCGCCCGCCCCGCCCCGGGGGGGCGCGGGGAACCGGCACCGGUUUGGCGCUGCGCGGCCCCCGCCCGCCCCGCGGUCUCACCCGCUCCCGCUCCCCCCCCGUCUCCCGCACCGCUCCCCCCCCCCCCGCCCCGCGGCCGCUCUGUCACCUUCCAGCCCGGUUCGGCUCGGUUCGGUUCGGCUCAGCCCCCGCCGCGGGCAGCCGGGGCCGGGGGGGCGGCAGCGCGCAUCUCCGCGGCUCGGCUCAGCCCGGCCCGGUUCGGUUCGGCCCGGCCCGGAGCGGCGGGGACUGCGCCAGGGCUGGGCGCGCUCCGCAGCCGCAUCUGCCCGAGCGGCGCGCACCACUGCGGGGGGGGGCGGCCCCGAGCGACCCCACGGCGGCACGAGAGGAGCCCGACCCCCCCCGGUACCGCAACGCCGGGACCCGCGGAGCAACGGGAACCGCUCGGAACCCACGGUGGGAACGGAGCGAGGGGCACCCACGGGCGGCCACGGGAGAAUCGCACCGAACGCCCCCUCCGCGCCCCGCCGAUGGUCUCGCCCGGGCUGUGGCUCUGCAGUGGGGGGGGCUCCGGGCGCGCUCCCCGCAUCCCCGGUACCCGGCGGUCGCCACGGCAACGGGAUCCCGCUCCGAGCAUCCCCGGGGGGGGCGGUGAAGCUCCCGGACAGUUGCCGUGGGGCGCGGAGCUCCCGACCCCGCCGCUCUCAGCCCCGGCCCCAGCCGCCCUUAUCGCCCCCCGCUCACCUCGGCCGAUCCAUGCGGGCACGGAGAUGCCCCGGCCGGGCCGGGAGCUCCGGUCCCGCUCAGCCCCCGAGAGUCUCCGCACCGCGGCCCCGGCCCCGGAGCUGCCCGCGGCGGAACCGGCCGGGCAACAUUCCUCGUGCCGUCAUCGACACCGGCGCUGCCCCGGCGCCACCGCGAGGGGACACGACACCGGAGAGACGGGGACGGACCCGCGGGGAAGGGACAGCGGGGGAUGAGGAUCCUCCAUGGGGGCACCGCGUCCCGCAGCCCUCACACCCGAGGCGGGACGUUACGGGCAGAUGGAGAAUAGGAAAUAGGAAAUAG